UACGGGGGGGGCAAGCGUUGUUCGGAAUUACUGGGCGUAAAGGGCUCGUAGGCGGCCAACUAAGUCAGACGUGAAAUCCCCAGGCUCAACCUGGGGACUGCGUCUGAUACUGGAUGGCUUGAAUCCGGGAGAGGGAUGCGGAAUUCCAGGUGUAGCGGUGAAAUGCGUAGAUAUCUGGAGGAAUACCGGUGGCGAAGGCGGCAUCCUGGACCGGCAUUGACGCUGAGGAGCGAAAGCCAGGGGAGCAAACGGG
rnacentral:rRNA from 1 species